UACGGGGGGGGGCAAGCGUUGUUCGGAAUUACUGGGCGUAAAGGGCGCGUAGGCGGUUUGUUAAGUUGGAUGUGAAAACUCUGGGCUCAACCCAGAGCCUGCAUCCAAUACUGACAGGCUAGAGUUCUGGAGGGGAUAGCGGAAUUCCUGGUGUAGCGGUGAAAUGCGUAGAUAUCAGGAGGAACACCGGUGGCGAAGGCGGCUAUCUGGACAGAGUCUGACGCUGAGGCGCGAAAGCGUGGGUAGCAAACAGG
rnacentral:rRNA from 1 species